UUGACAAAAAAGGAGUGCUACCUGAUUGAAUAUGUUGUUUUACAUUUCUAAUAAAACGUUGACAAUAUAGUUCAGCGGGCAUCUCCAGGAUUGGCCAUCUGCUGUAUUUGCCUGACGGUGCAAACGCAUAGCGGAUCCAAACUUCAUGGCAAAUUCGCUCUUGUGAAAUAUGACCAAACGGCCAAACUCGAUCGCAUUUUUCAAACUUCAUCAAACAUGGGAUUAGAGUAUCAUUUAAACCAACAAGAUUAUGAAGCGAUAAUGCAAAUACAACUCCGUGUUCUGACAUUAAAAAUGAAUUAAUCCAAUGGGAAAGAGUGAUGAUAGUGCUAUGAGUGCAUGCUUCUUAUAAAACAUUACAGAUUAUGAAGUAUUUUUGUAAUGAAAAAAAUGAAGUUCGGAAAAACAAACG